UACGAAGGGGGCUAGCGUUGCUCGGAUUUACUGGGCGUAAAGGGCGCGUAGGCGGACAGUUAAGUCGGGGGUGAAAGCCCGGGGCUCAACCUCGGAAUUGCCUUCGAUACUGGCUGUCUUGAGUGUGAGAGAGGUGUGUGGAACUCCGAGUGUAGAGGUGAAAUUCGUAGAUAUUCGGAAGAACACCAGUGGCGAAGGCGACACACUGGCUCACUACUGAACGCUGGAGGGCGCGAAA
rnacentral:rRNA from 1 species